rnacentral:rRNA from 1 species
AUACGGAGGGUGCAAGCGUUGUUCGGAAUCACUGGGCGUAAAGGGCGCGCAGGCGGUUUGAUUAGUCAGAUGUGAAAGCCCACGGCUUAACCGUGGAAGUGCAUUUGAAACUGUCAGACUUGAGUAUCAGAGGGGAAAGUGGAAUUCCCGGUGUAGAGGUGAAAUUCGUAGAUAUCGGGAGGAAUACCGGUGGCGAAGGCGACUUUCUGGCUGAAUACUGACGCUGAGGCGCGAAAGCGUGGGGAGCAAACAGGAUUAGAAACCCUUGUAGUCC